UACGUAGGGUCCGAGCGUUGUCCGGAAUUAUUGGGCGUAAAGGGCUCGUAGGCGGUUCGUCACGUCGGGAGUGAAAACUCGGAGCUUAACUCCGAGCCUGCUUCCGAUACGGGCAGACUAGAGGUAGGCAGGGGAGAGCGGAACUCCUGGUGUAGCGGUGAAAUGCGUAGAUAUCUGGAGGAACACCGGUGGCGAAGGCGGCAUCCUGGACCAAUUCUGACGCUGAGGAGCGAAAGCCAGGGGAGCAAACGGG
rnacentral:rRNA from 1 species